UCAAUUAAAAUAAUUGAUAACAUAAGGGAAAAUAAUGAUAUUACCUUAUUAUUAGUGUCGUCAAAAACUGGUGCCAGAAGACUCGGUAAGGCCUGAGACACAAACGUUAAUCAUCUUAAUCAGGCGUAAAGGGUUUGUAGGCGGCUUUUAAAUUAACUUAUUUAUCUUUAUUUUAUUAAUAAGUUAAGAAUAAAAGCUAGAAUCAAAUAGAGGUUAUAUUAAAUAAUGCUUAGAGCAGGUCUGAUAUCCUUAGAUACUAAGUAGAAUAUUAAAGGCGAAAGCUUUUUUCCAUUAAUGAUUGACGCUCAGAAACGUAGGUGAGGAUAGGAAAUAGGAUUAGAUACCCAAAAUACCCCUCUCUGUCAACGAUGAAUGGUAGUUAUUAGUAAUAAUUUUAUUAAUGGCAAUGUUAACACGAUAACCAUUCCGCCUUGUGAGUACGACUGCAAAGUUGAAAACAAAAAAAUUAGUCGGUUUCGGAGCAAACGAAGUGAAGCAUGUUAUUUAAUUC
rnacentral:rRNA from 1 species